UACGGAGGGUGCAAGCGUUAUCCGGAAUCACUGGGUUUAAAGGGUGCGUAGGCGGCUUGAUAAGUCAGGGGUGAAAGCCCUCAGCUUAACUGCGGAACUGCCUUUGAUACUGUCGAGCUUGAAAGAGGUUGAGGUCAGCGGAACGUGACAUGUAGCGGUGAAAUGCAUAGAUAUGUCACAGAACACCGAUUGCGAAGGCAGCUGGCUGGACCUACUUUGACGCUGAGGCGCGAAAGCGUGGGGAGCGCACAGG
rnacentral:rRNA from 1 species